GUUCCUGUGGUCUAGCGGUUAUGACGUUUGCUUUACACGCAAAAGGUCCUCGGUUCGAUCCCGAGUAGGAGCA